GACGAACGCUGGCGGCGUGCUUAACACAUGCAAGUCGAACGGAAAGGCCCUGCUUUUGUGGGGUGCUCGAGUGGCGAACGGGUGAGUAACACGUGAGUAACCUGCCCUUGACUUUGGGAUAACUUCAGGAAACUGGGGCUAAUACCGGAUAGGAGCUCCUGCUGCAUGGUGGGGGUUGGAAAGUUUCGGCGGUUGGGGAUGGACUCGCGGCUUAUCAGCUUGUUGGUGGGGUAGUGGCUUACCAAGGCUUUGACGGGUAGCCGGCCUGAGAGGGUGAACGGCCACAUGGGGACUGAGAUACGGCCCAGACUCCUACGGGAGGCAGCAGUGGGGAAUAUUGCACAAUGGGCGGAAGCCUGAUGCAGCAACGCCGCGUGCGGGAUGACGGCCUUCGGGUUGUAAACCGCUUUCGCCUGUGACGAAGCGUGAGUGACGGUAAUGGGUAAAGAAGCACCGGCUAACUACGUG
rnacentral:rRNA from 1 species